AGAGCUGAUCGGGCAAUCGCGGUUUCUUACGCAAGUGAGAAAUGGAGGAAAGUCCGGGCUCCAUAGGGUAGAACGCCAGAUAACGUCUGGGCAGCGUGAGCUGACGGAAAGUGCAACAGAAAGUAAACCGCCUGUGAGCUUGCUCAUCGGUAAGGGUGAAAGGGUGCGGUAAGAGCGCACCGCGUCGCUGGUAACAGUCGAUGGCACGGCAAACCCCGUUCGGAGCAAGACCAAAUAGGAAUGCACUGGUGUGACCCGCACUGCAUUCGGGUAGGUUGCUAGAGGUAUACGGUGACGUAUAUCCCAGAUGAAUGAUUGUCCAUGACAGAACCCGGCUUACAGAUCAGCUCUAUCU
rnacentral:RNase_P_RNA from 1 species